GACGAACGCUGGCGGCGUGCCUAAUACAUGCAAGUAGAACGCUGAAGCUUGGUGCUUGCACCGAGCGGAUGAGUUGCGAACGGGUGAGUAACGCGUAGGUACCCUGCCUGGUAGCGGGGGAUCACUAUUGGAAUCGAUAGCUAAUACCGCAUAAGAGUCGAUGUUGCAUGACAUUUUCUUAAAAGGCGCAAUUGCAUCACUACCUGAUGGACCUGCGGUGUAUUAGCUAGUUGGUGAGGUAACGGCUCACCAAGGCAACGCUACAUAGCCGACCUGAGAGGAUGAUCAGCCACACUGAGACUGAGACACGGCACAGAGGGCUACGGGAGGCAGCAGUAGGGAAACGGGAGCAAUGAGCGGAAGACUGACCGAGCAACGCCGCGUGAGUGAAGAAGGUUGUCGGAUCGUAAAGCUCGGUUGUAAGGGAAGAACGAGUGUGAGAGUGGAAAGAACAGACAGUGACGGUAUCUGAUCAGAAAGGAACGGCUAACUACGUG
rnacentral:rRNA from 1 species